UACGUAGGGUGCGAGCGUUGUCCGGAAUUAUUGGGCGUAAAGAGCUCGUAGGCGGUGUGUCACGUCGGCCGUGAAAACCUGCAGCUUAACUGUGGGCGUGCGGUCGAUACGGGCAUCACUGGAGUUCGGCAGGGGAGACUGGAAUUCCUGGUGUAGCGGUGAAAUGCGCAGAUAUCAGGAGGAACACCGGUGGCGAAGGCGGGUCUCUGGGCCGAUACUGACGCUGAGGAGCGAAGGCGUGGGGAGCGAACAGG
rnacentral:rRNA from 1 species